rnacentral:tRNA from 1 species
GGUUUUAUAGUCAAUAUUAUAUGAUAUUAGAGUGCAAUUCUAAAGUAAAGGUCACCCUUUAAAGCUU